rnacentral:lncRNA from 10 species
CUUGGACAUGCCAGGAAUAAAAAGGAUACUCACUGUUACCAUUCUGGCUCUCUGUCUUCCAAGCCCUGGGAAUGCACAGGAGAGAUGGACCCCUGUGUGUCAGCCCUGAAAUGUGGGCAGAUCCCUCCUGAAAACUCCGAGUGGCCUCUCUGUGUCUCUGGCUCAGGAAAGAAGUGAGAGAAGCCCUAUCUCUGAGCAGGCUGAGGGCUGCAGGCAGGCACAGUGCACGAAUGGCUUUGACCUGGAUCGCCAGUCAGGACAGUGUUUAGCAUCUCUCUGACCAAUCAGCCUCUUCUUCUUCUACUUUUAAGAACUCCUGUGAAUAUAUCGGGCCCACCCAGAAAAUCCAGGAUAACCUCCCCAUCUCAAGAUAUUGAUGAAUGCCGAACCAUCCCCGAGGCCUGCCGAGGAGACAUGAUGUGUGUUAACCAAAAUGGCGGGUAUUUAUGCAUUCCCCGGACAAACCCUGUGUAUCGAGGGCCCUACUCGAACCCCUACUCGACCCCCUACUCAGGUCCGUACCCAGCAGCUGCCCCACCACUCUCAGCUCCAAACUAUCCC